GACGUUUGAUGCCCGGCCCCUGAGAUUC
rnacentral:piRNA from 1 species